rnacentral:rRNA from 1 species
AUUGAACGCUGGCGGCGUGCUUAACACAUGCAAGUCGAUCGGUAACAGGUGUAGCAAUACAUGCUGACGAGAGGCGGACGGGUGAGUAAUGCUUGGGAAUCUGCCUAUUAGUGGGGGACAACCCGGGGAAACUCGGGCUAAUACCGCAUACGCUCUACGGAGGAAAGCCGGGGACCGCAAGGCCUGGCGCUAAUAGAUGAGCCCAAGUCGGAUUAGCUAGUUGGUAGGGAACGGCCUACCAAGGCGACAAUCCGUAGCUGGUCUGAGAGGACGACCAGCCACACCGGAACUGAGACACGGUCCGGACUCCUACGGGAGGCAGCAGUGGGGAAUAUUGGACAAUGGGGGCAACCCUGAUCCAGCGACGCCGCGUGGGUGAAGAAGGCCUGCGGGUUGUAAAGCCCUUUCGGUGGGGAAGAAAAGUCUCGACCUAAUACGUCGGGACCUUGACGUAACCCACUAAAGAAGCACCGGCUAACUCUGUGCCAGCAGCCG